rnacentral:lncRNA from 1 species
AACAUGUGGUACAUGAAACUGAGCUUUCCUAAGUAGAGGAGAGACUGGAAAGGUGCCUGGAUACUGCAGGAGGGACCUGAGAGCUUCUUUGUGGGCAAAUAGAAACUUUCUUUGGAUUGAAUGGGCAAGAAUUGGGGUCAGGUGUGCAGUCUGUUCUCUGGGGAAAGCCUAUGGAAGACCUUAGACAAAGUUCUUGGAAAAGGAUCAUCUUAGGUAAUGGAUUUCCCAGAGACUGAGACAUGAGGAAACACUCCCAAGGUUUGCAAGGUGGCACAGACCUCAGAAUUGUUCUUAAGAGAAAGGUAGAGGAAAGAUCGAGUGCUGUGUUUGGAGGCAGCCCCUCUGCAGUUUGGGGAACCCCAGUGCCCAGGCUUCUGCACCCCCUGGGGUUCUCCAUGUCCUCAUUGCCUUGGUGUGCCCUUUGCAGCCCUGUGAAGACGUGGCAGUGGUGGAUCAGCCAUGAAGAUCCUGUACCUGCUCUUCCCCUUGCUCCUCCUGCUGGUCCAGGGUGCUGCAGGAAGUGUACAUCUAUGCAGACAUCAAAGGGGAAUCUGUGUUUCUGGGAGAUGCCUCCUGGGUUCCAGACCCAUUGGGAGAUGUACAGCACAAACCUUGUGCUGCAGACGUUUUCGGGGUUGAGACCCUGAAAUGUCCCAGCAGGACGUCCCCCUCGCUUCUGGCUCCUGGAACCAUCUCCUGAGGUCCUCUCCCCUCCCUGCCUCUGCCAUGCCCAGCUGCUGGCACAGCAGCAGUGGCAGCUGCUCCUGCUGGGUGCUGCUGGGCUGGAGACAUCUCAUCCCAACCAUGGGGUCUGUGGGGCAGAGGCUGCUUUUCCCAGCUUGAAUAAAGAUGAGCAGUU